AUGCAUGUUGUGCCGUCCGAAAUAGCAAAAGAUGUUUUGUUAGUUUGUUCCUCUUCGCAUACUGUAUUUUCCCUAGGUUACAUCAGUUCUAGACGUAUUCAGAGACAAGCUGUCGUUUUCUUCCUCUCCGUUAACCUUCUUCAGGCCAUAAAGAACAUAUGUCUAUGGUUUUUCUAGGUUAAUUGUCUACCUUAAAGCUGCCACCAACAACAAAGCUACAACAGUUUUUGAUGGUUUCUUGUCAGCAAUCAGACAAUAUGGAAUACCAUCACGAGUGCGGUCAGACAAAGGGGGGGGGAUGUGAAGGUUGCACAUUUCAUGGUCCAGGCAAUGGGAGAGAACAGGAACUCUCACAUUACUGGCAGAAGUGUUCACAACCAGCGUCUUUACCCAGCUGGAGAUUCAAGGACUGCUCAACCCUGGUGAAGAAAUUGACUUGUUUGCACUGCACAGAUGCUUUUUUCAUCACAUUCAAAAUCAUCUUCAGGGGGCUUCCGGUGACGUCAUGUUGCUAGCAGCAGCUUGAAGAAUUAGCUCCGUUCAUAUACGAAUAUAUUUCCUAACUAAACUACACAAAACUCGGCGAAAUUU